GGCCAGACUCCUACGGGAGGCAGCAGUGGGGGAUAUUGCACAAUGGGGGGAACCCUGAUGCAGCGACGCCGCGUGGGUGAAGAAGCGCCUCGGCGCGUAAAGCCCUGUCAGCAGGGAAGAAAAUGACGGUACCUGAAGAAGAAGCCCCGGCUAACUACGUGCCAGCAGCCGCGGUAAUACGUAGGUGGCGAGCGUUAUCCGGAUUUACUGGGUGUAAAGGGAGUGUAGGCGGGAAGGCAAGUCAGAAGUGAAAAUUAUGGGCUCAACCCAUAACCUGCUUUUGAAACUGUUUUUCUUGAGUGAAGCAGAGGCAAGCGGAAUUCCUAGUGUAGCGGUGAAAUGCGUAGAAAUUAGGAGGAACACCAGUGGCGAAGGCGGCUUGCUGGGCUUUUACUGACGCUGAGGCUCGAAAGCGUGGGGAGCAAACAGGAUUAGAUACCCUGGUA
rnacentral:rRNA from 1 species